GAACAGCAAGCUCUACCAAAGCAAGGUCUCCUCUGCUUCCUCAGACUGCCGACCAGUGCUGAGAACAGGGACACUGAAUAUCUGUGAGCUGAGCGCAUCCAGCCAUCAACUGACUCACUCACUGAAGAACGCUACAUUCUGGGCAUAUCUUCCAUGACAGUCCAGCAGGGUAGCUGUUGGAAAUCCAAACAUGUCCACUCCUGCUUACGACCUCAGUCACCACCUCUUCAUAUGAUUCUUCCAUGGGCUGUUCCUGAGCACCUGAGGGAGAAAAACAAACAGAAACAAACAGGAAAGGGCAGAAUAAUUGAUAUGUGAGAAGGAAAAAGUCAACAGUUGUUGAGACAUAAGUGAAUGCUGGAGUACAGUGACUCAAUCAUAGCUUGCUGUGACUUUGAACUCCUGGACUCAACGGAUCCUCCCACUUCAGCCUCCCAAAUAACUAGGACUACAGCAGCUGGUUCUUCUUGACAACUGCACAUUCUGCUACAUGCUGUGAUGACCAGGAGAAUCAUUUAAAUUUUUAUUUGGAGGACUCACUUCCAACUUGGAACACAAGCUGCAAAGGAAUUCCCUACCAGCAUGCCAGCACAUCAUUUGGAAUUUCAAGGUAUUCUUGCUCAACAGCUGCACACACAUUAAAAGUUCCUGGGGUACAUGGCGCCUGCUGCCUGGGGUUGGACUCUGUCGCCGGGGAUUCCAGAAAUUAGAGUAGAAUUCACAGCUCUGCCUCUCCACCUGCUGUGAGGUCUUCAAGUUACAACUCCGCCGCCUAUCAGGGACCUCCGUGAUUAGUAAGGGAGAAAUUGUCAUAUUUUUCUCCCUAGAUCACAGGUCUGAGGAAGCAGUUUCCCCAAGAUUUUGUAAAAGUGGCUUUAUAAUUAAAAACAUUGAUUUUCCUAUUA
rnacentral:antisense_RNA from 1 species